rnacentral:rRNA from 1 species
AUUGAACGCUGGCGGCAGGCUUAACACAUGCAAGUCGAGCGGAGCGAGGGUGCUUGCACCUUAGCUUAGCGGCGGACGGGUGAGUAAUGCUUAGGAAUCUGCCUAUUAGUGGGGGACAACAUUCCGAAAGGAAUGCUAAUACCGCAUACGCCCUACGGGGGAAAGCAGGGGAUCUUCGGACCUUGCGCUAAUAGAUGAGCCUAAGUCGGAUUAGCUAGUUGGUGGGGUAAAGGCCUACCAAGGCGACGAUCUGUAGCGGGUCUGAGGGGAGGAUCCGCCACACUGGGACUGAGACACGGCCCAGACUCCUACGGGAGGCAGCAGUGGGGAAUAUUGGACAAUGGGCGGAAGCCUGAUCCAGCCAUGCCGCGUGUGUGAAGAAGGCCUUUUGGUUGUAAAGCACUUUAAGCGAGGAGGAGGCUCUUAAGGUUAAUACCCUUGAUGAGUGGACGUUACUCGCAGAAUAAGCACCGGCUAACUCUGUGCCAGCAGCCGCGGUAACAC